rnacentral:rRNA from 1 species
UGGGGAAUAUUGCACAAUGGGCGAAAGCCUGAUGCAGCAACGCCGCGUGAGUGAUGAAGGCCUUCGGGUUGUAAAGCACUUUUGUCCGGAAAGAAAUCCUUGGCUCUAAUACAGUCGGGGGAUGACGGUACCGGAAGAAUAAGCACCGGCUAACUACGUGCCAGCAGCCGCGGUAAUACGUAGGGUGCAAGCGUUAAUCGGAAUUACUGGGCGUAAAGCGUGCGCAGGCGGUUUGCUAAGACCGAUGUGAAAUCCCCGGGCUCAACCUGGGAACUGCAUUGGUGACUGGCAGGCUAGAGUAUGGCAGAGGGGGGUAGAAUUCCACGUGUAGCAGUGAAAUGCGUAGAGAUGUGGAGGAAUACCGAUGGCGAAGGCAGCCCCCUGGGCCAAUACUGACGCUCAUGCACGAAAGCGUGGGGAGCAAACAGGAUUAGAUACCCUGGUAGUCCACGCCCUAAACGAUGUCAACUAGUUGUUGGGGAUUCAUUUCCUUAGUAACGUAGCUAACGCGUGAAGUUGACCGCCUGGGGAGUACGGUCGCAAGAUU